UAGGGANUCUUCCGCAAUGGACGCAAGUCUGACGGAGCAACGCCGCGUGAGUGAAGAAGGUUUUCGGAUCGUAAAACUCUGUUGUUAGAGAAGAACAAGUGCUAGAGUAACUGUUAGCGCCUUGACGGUAUCUAACCAGAAAGCCACGGCUAACUACGUGCCAGCAGCCGCGGUAAUACGUAGGUGGCAAGCGUUGUCCGGAUUUAUUGGGCGUAAAGCGAGCGCAGGCGGCUCUUUAAGUCUGAAGUUAAAGGCAGUGGCUUAACCAUUGUACGCUUUGGAAACUGGAGGACUUGAGUGCAGAAGGGGAGAGUGGAAUUCCAUGUGUAGCGGUGAAAUGCGUAGAUAUAUGGAGGAACACCGGUGGCGAAAGCGGCUCUCUGGUCUGUAACUGACGCUGAGGCUCGAAAGCGUGGGGAGCAAACAGGAUUAGAUACCCUGGUAGUCCACGCCGUAAACGAUGAGUGCUAGGUGUUAGGCCCUUUCCGGGGCUUAGUGCCGCAGCUAACGCAUUAAGCACUCCGCCUGGGGAGUACGACCGCAAGGUUG
rnacentral:rRNA from 1 species